rnacentral:rRNA from 1 species
UACGUAGGGUGCAAGCGUUAAUCGGAAUUACUGGGCGUAAAGCGUGCGUAGGCGGCUAUGCAAGUCAGUUGUGAAAUCCCCGGGCUCAACCUGGGAACUGCAUCUGUGACUGCAUCGCUGGAGUGCGGCAGAGGAGGAUGGAAUUCCGCGUGUAGCAGUGAAAUGCGUAGAUAUGCGGAGGAACACCGAUGGCGAAGGCAGUCCCCUGGGCCGGCACUGACGCUCAUGCACGAAAGCGUGGGGAGCAAACAGG